rnacentral:rRNA from 1 species
AUGAACAUUCAACGUGACUUGCACAUGGCCAAAGGCGAAGGAGAGACUAGCUACGUGAACAACUCAAGGCUUCAGCAAAAAGCUUUGCUUGAGACUGAGGCGGUGCUUGAGAAGGCCGUCGGAGAAGUGUGCAUGGAUCUCCACCAGCCAGCAAUGACUGCUGUUGAUUUAGGGUGCUCAUCUGGUCAGAACACACUCUUCUUGGUCUCCAAGGUGAUCAAAGUGGUAGGCCGUGAUAGUGACGAAAAAUCAAGGUGCAACCCUGUGGAGCUCCAGUUCUUUCUCAAUGAUUUACCAGGAAAUGACUUCAACUAUGUCUUCCGUUCACUCGAACGGUUCAAAGAGUCGAUAAUAGCGGAACAAAAUACACUGCUACCACCUUUCUAUAUUGCUGGGUUACCAGGCACCUGCUACACUAGGCUUUUCCCUCGCCAGAGUUGUCACCUCUUUCACUCAUCAUACUGCCUCCAUUGGCUCUCUCGGGUACCACAAUUGGGUACCUGCUGGAUUAGAAGGAGGGAGUACUUAAACGGGGGAAACAUUUGCGUUGAUAAGACUACGCCAGCAGGUGUUGCGGAACUGUACCGACUACAAUUUCAGAAAGACAUGUUAUUGUUCCUCAAGUUGCGGCACGAAGAGCUAGUGCUUGGCGGGCAAAUGAUGCUAACGUUUCUUGGGAGAAAAUAUGAGGACAUAUACAACAACGGAUAUGUGAACCAUACUUGGGGCUUACUUGCGCAAUCUCUGCGAUCUCUUGUUAAAGAAGGUCUGCUGGAGAAGGAAAAGCUCGACUCCUUCAACCUUCCCAUUUACGCGCCAUCGGUCAAUGAAGUAAAGGAGGUAGUCGCUCAAAACGGGUUGUUCAACAUCAGCCACAUCAAAUUGUUUGAGUCCAACUGGGAUCCUCAUGAUGAUUCAGAAGGGGGUGAGGUACAAAAUAGCGAACAGAGCGGGAUUAACAUCGCUAAGAGCUUGAGGGCGGUGUUUGGACCCCUACUUGCAAAACAUUUUGGUGAAUCCUUGCUGAACAGGUUAUUCAAGAAAUGUGCAAACUAUGCCACACAACACCUUGAGAGGGGAGAAGGAAAGUACCUUCUCAUCUGCGUGUCCCUGAAAAGAACAUAA